rnacentral:rRNA from 1 species
UACGUAGGCAGCGAGCGUUGUUCGGAGUUACUGGGCGUAAAGGGUGUGUAGGCGGUUGUUUAAGUUUGGUGUGAAAUCUCCCGGCUCAACUGGGAGGGUGCGCCGAAUACUGAAUGACUUGGAGUGCGGGAGAGGUGAGUGGAAUUCCUGGUGUAGCGGUGAAAUGCGUAGAUAUCAGGAGGAACACCGGUGGUGUAGACGGCU